rfam:Salmo salar isolate Sally breed double haploid chromosome ssa17, whole genome shotgun sequence.
UGUAUUCACUACUGUAAGUCGCUCUGGAUAAGAGCGUCUACUAAAUUACUAAAA